rnacentral:rRNA from 1 species
AUGGCGACCGCGAUCAUGCUGCAGUGGCUGGUUUGCUCUUUGCUGCCCAGUACUUAUGAAUAUAGAUUGGUUACUCCACUGCAUGUUACUCCGUGUGAGGUGGGCUUAAAUUUCUUGUUCAGCCUCUUCGGACCCUUCCACCUCUCCGGCCUCACCACUGGAGACUCAGAUGCGAGAACCGCCACCGCCGCCGCCGUGUCUGUCGGUGACGCUCACACAAGAAUCCAGAGGCAGUACCUUGGUCCUCUCCCUGAGAACAACAGCUGUCUCAUGAUGCGGUCGCGGCCCGAGGGUGGCGGGACUGACGCCACCGUCCAUGCCAUGUUCUGGCUGAUCCCCAAGGCUCCUUGCCGAUGUCCAACCAGCGCCACACAGCCAAUGGAGAGUGGAGGGGGCGUGUCCUACCUGGCACCGCCGAGCUUCUGCUCAGGCGGCACGCCAUGGGCGCGCCCCAACCACUAG